rfam:Aedes aegypti strain Liverpool supercont1.674 genomic scaffold, whole genome shotgun sequence.
UGUCCAGCAACUCCUAACCCUACCUCCUCGCGGUACUGGCCGGGGUACGAGUAACCUUAGGGAAGAUCGGUUAACCAAACCCAGGUGGGAACUUUGGUCGUAUGCUGACAGGGAAGG